rnacentral:rRNA from 1 species
UACGUAGGGCGCAAGCGUUGUCCGGAAUUAUUGGGCGUAAAGAGCUCGUAGGCGGCUUGUCGCGUCGGUUGUGAAAGCCCGGGGCUUAACCCCGGGUCUGCAGUCGAUACGGGCAGGCUAGAGUUCGGUAGGGGAGACUGGAAUUCCUGGUGUAGCGGUGAAAUGCGCAGAUAUCGGGAGGAACACCAGUGGCGAAGGCGGCACUCUGGGCCGGAACUGACGCUGAGGAGCGAAAGCGUGGGAGCGAACAGG